UUGGAGGGCAAGUCUGGUGCCAGCAGCCGCGGUAAUUCCAGCUCCAAUAGCGUAUAUUAAAGUUGUUGCAGUUAAAAAGCUCGUAGUUGAAUUUCGGGAUCAAAUUGUCGGUCGUGCCUCGGUACGCACUGGUAUUAUUGGUUCCCACCUUCUGAAGAACCGCGAUGUCAUUAAUUUGGUGUCGUGGGGAAUCAGGACUGUUACUUUGAAAAAAUUAGAGUGUUUAAAGCAGGCUUACGCUUGAAUACAUUAGCAUGGAAUAAUGAAAUAGGACGUUUGAUUCUAUUUUGUUGGUUUCUAGGAUUGACGUAAUGAUUAAUAGGGAUAGUUGGGGGCAUUAGUAUUCAAUUGUCAGAGGUGAAAUUCUUGGAUUAAUUGAAGACUAACUACUGCGAAAGCAUUUGCCAAGGAUGUUUUCAUUAAUCAAGAACGAAAGUUAGGGGAUCGAAGACGAUCAGAUACCGUCGUAGUCUUAACCAUAAACUAUGCCGACUAGGGAUCGGAUGAUGUUAAUUUUUUAAUGACUCAUUCGGCGCCUUACGGGAAACCAAAGUGUUUGGGUUC
rnacentral:rRNA from 1 species